ensembl:lncRNA
CAGUUGCUCUGGGGGUGGUUUUCCUGCAGUUUGACUGGUCAGCCCGUCACUGACCUCUUCAGAGACAUUGAUGCUUUCUCUGUCUCUGCUCCGUCCUCUGCUUUUCAGCCCAGCCCCCCUUCGCAUGCUGCGUGUUGGCUGCAGAGACGCCCCCCAUCUCGUCGUAAAGGCACAGGUGAGCCAGGAGGAAAGAAACAGCCUCCCUUGAAUCUUCUAGAGUUUGGUCAAAUGACUUUUGCCUCCACCUGUGGCUGCCGCACUGCCCUCUGGGACACCCUGGAGACGGCGUUUUUCACCUGCCUUGUCUCAGCGUCUGCCGUCCCUGCUCUGAGCAAAGCGUUUCUAGCAUUUCCAACAUGUCCGACGGUUGUUAUGUCCACCACGACUGCCCUCUGCCUGCCCAUCUGUCUGGGCUUUAUUUUUGGACUCGAGUGCGGUAAUUGAAGAUUUCUGCUUCUGGCUAUGAUGGAUUAGUUUGCAGCUGACCAAACUGAAAGCCAAGAACACAAGAAACGGUAAAUACAAUGAGAACACAUUUUUGAAGGUACCAGAGAGUUAUCAAGGCAGUUAGAACAUGUACAGCCAAGAACCUGGAGAGAAGGAAAACACAUUGGAGGUAAGCCCAACACUCUACAUGACAUUUUUUUUUUUUGGUCAAGGCAUUUGUAGAUUGUUAAACAGCAUGGAGCAGGAUGUAGAAAAGCUGAGCAGAAAGUAGCAGGUAAGCAGUGUGAGUGAUAGUCUUACAGGUGUGAGGGCCAAAGACUGGGGAUCAGAUCAUUUACAGCAGCCCAGACUGGAGGGGCCAAUCCCUGCAGUGAAGGGAAGAGAAGCAGAGGAGAUCUAGCUCUGCUCCCAUUUUCAUCUCAGAGUUGUUUGUCACUGAAAAGGGGUCACGGUGCAAGAGGUGAAGUAGAGAUUGGCCGCUUCCAAUGUGUGAGAAGAUACUCGGAACUUUCUGCAGAUUCACAGCAUGAGAAAUUGAAAAACUAGAAUCUAGAUUCUAGAUCUAGAAUCUAGAAACUAGAAUCUUAGAUCCCCUAAGGAAGGGAUCCUGAUAACCAACCUGUAAGAAAAGUAACCAGAACAUAGACCAGACCUUGCAAACCCUAACCCCACCCUUGAACCUUUGUGUUCCUUGUACCUUGAACCUGCUUGUGUAAGGGGUUACCUGGAUUAGCUACGUGCAAGAAUUUAAAACCUAGGCCCCUGGAGGAAUAGAGCAUCAGCUAGAGGCUGUAAAUUUUUUCAUGCAAAAUGGACGGCAUUUAAUGAAAAAAAAUAAGAGGUAAACAAGAACUAGGUCCAAGAAAAUAACAGUGUUAGAAACCAAGCCAGUGAUCAUCCAUAUUUUGAAGUAUGUAGACGAGAAGUGAUUUAUAUCAAGAGGAGAGAUAAGUUAGAGGUUUCCACAGAGAACUGGAGUCCAUACAAAAUCCCUUCAUGAUUUCAGAGUAGACAAAGUUUUCUUAAACUAGAUGUUAAAAGCAAUAAUUGCAAUGUCUCCUAAGUCCAUCCAUGUUGUUGCAAAUGGCAGGAUCUCCUUUUUUUAAAGGCUGAAUAAUAUUCGUGUGUGUGUGUGUGUGUGUGAAGCUUUCUUUAUCCAUUCAUCUGUUGACAGACACUUUGAUGGUUUUCAAAUCUUGGCUAUUGUAAAUACCAAACAGAUAAAAGCAGAGAGUAGAAGGGUUAUUACCAGGGGUGGAGGGGUGGGGUAAAUGGACAGAAGGGAAGAUGUUGGUCAAAGGGUACAAACCAGUUGUUAUGUAGGAUGAGAAAGUAUAGAGCUCUAAUGUACAGCAUGAAGACUAUAGUUAAGAUAACUGAAUAUUGGAGGCGCCUGGGUGGCUCUGUCUGUUAAAUGUCCGACUUCAGCUCAGGUCAUGAUCUCACAGCUUGUGAGUUCGCGUUCUGUGUCGGGCUCUGUGCUGACAGCUCAGAGCCUGGAGCCUGCUUGGAUUCUGUGUCUCCCUCUCUCUCUUCCUCUCCCCUGCUUGUGCUCUGUUUCUUUAAAAUGAUUAAAUGUUAAAAAAAAUUUUUUAAUUAAAAAAAAAAAGAAAACUGAAUACUGGAGGUGCCUAAGGGCUCAGUUAAGUGUCAGACUUCGGCUCAGGUCAUGAUCUCGCGGUUCUGAGUUUCAGCCCCGCAGUGGGUUCUGCACUGGGUUGCGGAGUCUGCUUGGGAUUCUCUCUGUCACCCUUUCUGUCUCUGCCCCUUCCCCACUUGUGCGCUCUCUCUCUCUCGCGCGCGCGCGCGCACGCUCUCUCAGAAAUAAGUAAACCUAAAACAACAACAAAAAAGAAUACUGAACACUAGAAAUUUUCUAAAAGAUUGUUUUCAGGUGCUCUUAUCACACACACACAAAAAUGGUCACUGAGUGAGAUGAUAAUUAGCUUGAAUGUAAUAAUCAUUUCACUGUAUAUGUCAAAACAUCAUGUUAUAUAUCUUAAAUAUAUACAGUGAUGAAUACAGUAUCAUUUUGAGAAUAAAAACAGUAACCAUACAGGAAGAGUUUGACA